rnacentral:lncRNA from 1 species
AGUAACCGAUACCCAACCCUAGUAAUGAUGGAGCCCACCUGAUGUUUGUCUUGUUUUUUAACUGCCCUAGCGAUGCGUUUCCAUCUGCUGAAGCACACACGACUGAAUGUGGUGACGUUCCUCAACGAGCUGCCAAAAACUCAGCAUGACAUCAUCUCUUUCACCAUGGACGUAAACGCCUACACAGUGAGUUCACGUCUGAUCUGCCACACACUGAGUUACAUCAUUUAUGUUGUUCACUCAGCCAAACUGCUUUGUUUUCACAGAAUAUGCUGCUGUCAUUCACAGUGGGCGGAGUCUUCAAAGAAGUUGUUGUAGAUGAUAAAUCUAAAGAAUCUACAAGGUUUUCAUCACAGUUCCAGCAGUGGAUUCUGGUUUGUGCAUCAUCAACGACCAGCUCUUCAUCAGAAUGGCUACAACGGAGCAGAUCAGCAGAGCUUUUGUGCCCCGCCCCCUUCCUCCAGCCCAGUGCCCACCCUCACUGCCCCACAGCAGGAGAUGCUCAGCACCUUCUCCCUGAAGUCAGACAUGAACCUGGAAUGGUCCCUGAAGUAGGUGUCCUCUCCUAAUGACGUCUACCAGACUAGGAUGAAUGUCACAGCUCACUGAUAAACACUGUCUGUGUGUUGCAGGUGUCUGCAGGACAACAAGUGGGACUUGAACAAAGCAAAACUGUUUUCCAAAUAUUUUCAC